GGCUGUUUUGAUGGUAGUGGGUUAUCAGAACUUAUUAACAUUAGUGUCACUAAAGUUGGCAUACAACCCCUCCAUUGCUAAAUUUGACUGGCUUUUA
rnacentral:Y_RNA from 1 species